rnacentral:piRNA from 1 species
UGACACCAUGAUCCUGAGAUGGGAAAAGGAG